CGCGUAGGCGGGUUCCCAAGUCUGUGGUGAAAUCCUCCAGCUUAACUGGAGAAGUGCCAUGGAUACUGGAGACCUCGAGGAGGGUAGGGGCAUCUGGAACAGCCGGUGGAGCGGUGAAAUGCGUUGAUAUCGGCUGGAACUCCGAUGGCGAAGGCAGGGUGCUGGACCCUAUCUGACGCUGAGGCGCAAGCCAGGGAGCGAACG
rnacentral:rRNA from 1 species